AGUCGGUCAUGGUGGACAUUUUACUUCGGAAUUAACUCACUAGCUAUUGUAUAGAGAAAUGAUCCUGGCGGCGAUUUCCGCGGAAUGUCAUCCUUGUGAUCAUGGCCAAAUAUAAAGAUUCUGUCUUCGGCAAGGUUUCACCAGCUGCUGGGAGAACCACCCAUCGUUCACACCGCAAAAAUCGGGCGACUACGGUGGGCUGGUGACGUCGUAAGAAUGUCGGGCAACAACCUGGUGAAAAUGUUUUUUGAAAAUAACCCGACUGGAACUAGACGAAGAGGUGUGCAGUGAGCAAGAUGGAUCGACCAGGUAGAAGCCGAUCUGCGGGUUAGGUCUCCCUUGGCUCAGUAGGUGAAGGCGCAGCUAUAAAGUAAGACCAUGGCGGGUUGAAAAAUUUCUCGACUUCCCUGGGUACUUCCAACACUAGAAUACUAAUGCAAAAAUGGUACUGGCUUACCCAACUCUCAAAUAACAAUUGUAGAAGUGCUCAAAGAACACUAAGUUGAGAGUCGGUUUAAAGUCCCAGUAGAAACGUAAUAAAGCCAAAGAAGAAACCCGAUUUGCGGAGCUUCUGCAGACAGUGAUGCUAGUGUCAUGCAGCCACGAAUCGAGUGGUACAUCAAAGGACAACAAGGCUUUCUGAAUGGUCUAAAUGGUAAGGGCAAUAAAAUCGUGAAAUCUUUUAAUGACGAAAAAUAUGAUUUAUGUGAUAUCUUAAGACUAUAAUCAUACACAAUAUUCAAUUUCGGCAAAGUUAUUCAGUUGAGUAAAAACGCUCGGAAAGUUCCCGUCUUCAGCAAAGUUGUGUGAGACCUCUAAACUGCCAGAUUUUAGUUUAAAAAGUGUCCGCUAGUGCGUAAUAUAAAAUAUAAUUCUGUCAUAUAUCGCAUGAUCUUGACCUUACGUAAAGUUCUCGUCUUUGGCGAAUUUUGUUCACUUGAGUAAGCACAUUCUGAUUGCAGUAAUAGUAGUUAGGUAGCGCUAGUCAGUGUAAGUAUUGAUUUAAAAGAUAUGUGAAGAUCCAGAUCAUAUGGAAUGUUCCCAUCUUCGACAAAGUUGUUCGGUUGGCAUAGGCCUAUCUAAUGCACUUGAAAAGCGAAGGCAGUUUGUAAUGAUAGGUUUUAUAAACGAUGUUGUAGCACAAAGAGUGAAUGCCAAACUACACAGUGAACAAACUAUACCAGGAAUAAAAAAAAAGGACAACUAUCCGCGAAGGUGCCCACCGGUCGUCCGAGGUCAGCUCGGGUUCCGAGGGUUAUCGCUGCUAUCAAAAGGAAGAUUCGGGUGAAUCCAGUGCGUUCAAUAAGGAAAAUGGCAAAGGAACACGGAAUCAGUGAAGAUCGUAAAGGAAGAUUGCGGGGCGAAGUCGAGGGCACGGAAAAAACUCACAUGAUUACCAACCGCAUCCGGGAGCUACGAGUCGAACGAUGCAAGAAAAUCUUGAACUUCCUUAAGCGAAAAAAUCCGGUAAUCCUGUUCACCGACGAGAGCAUGUUUACCGUCGAUCCCGUAUCAAAUUCCAGA